GGCGCGGUGGCGGAGUGGUCACGCAGAGGACUGCAAAUCCUCGUACACCGGUUCGAUUCCGGUCCGCGCCUCCA
rnacentral:tRNA from 1 species